rnacentral:rRNA from 1 species
GAUGCUAAUACCGCAUAAAACCUAACACCGCAUGGUGUAGGGUUGAAAGAUGGUUUCGGCUAUCACUUUAGGAUGGACCCGCGGUGCAUUAGUUAGUUGGUGAGGUAAAGGCUCACCAAGACCGUGAUGCAUAGCCGACCUGAGAGGGUAAUCGGCCACACUGGGACUGAGACACGGCCCAGACUCCUACGGGAGGCAGCAGUAGGGAAUCUUCCACAAUGGACGAAAGUCUGAUGGAGCAACGCCGCGUGAGUGAAGAAGGUUUUCGGAUCGUAAAACUCUGUUGUUGGAGAAGAAUGUAUCUGAUAGUAACUGAUCAGGUAGUGACGGUAUCCAACCAGAAAGCCACGGCUAACUACGUG